AAGCUGAUGUCUAUGCUUGCCAACAAACUGCUGUGACAAAAACCAAUAAGAAAAACAUAAAACCAGCAACUUGAAAUUGUUGGCUGCUCACUGCAAAAACCUCUGGAAUGCAAAGACUGUUAUUGCAAGAGGAAUUCCAGGCACAUGAACACAGGUUGGAAAGGACUUGCUACCUUCAGUCUUCUUGGGAUUGACAAGAGAUUAUAAGGAUGACAUUUUAAGGAGGGAAUUGUUUAUUUGUGAUAGAAACGGGAAAAACAAACCCUUGGUUACUUUUUUGAACUAUGAACAGCUUUCAGAGACAUUUCUCUUAUCAAAAUGUCUUGCAAAAUCUGAGGGUGGGGAAAUGGUUGGAGAGCUCACAACUUUUCAGAACUACAGCUAAACAAGUGAAAAUGCAGCCCAGGAACUGGCAGAAAACUGCCUUUCUGUGAGCAGGGAGUUGACUGAGAAACCUUGCAAUGACCCAGGAGUUGGUAGGAAAGGACAGGGAGAUUAAUGUGAUUCUGAACAGACAAGCAGCCCUUAUGGAAAGCAUGAUGCACUGAAGCUUCCCUCCCACUCUCUCCUUUCCUCGGCACCAUUCUGCAUCCUGAAGUGGGUCUGUCUCUGGAUCCCCAGGCCUCCAGAAAGCCAUCAGACUGGAAAAACAGGUCCUCAAGGAUUCAAAACACAGCUCCUUCUCCUAAGGCACUGACCACAGCAGUGCCCACCUCAGAUCCCUCCAACCCAAUGGACUUGAGACCACAUUUUCAUUAAAAAUAGAGGAAUGAGCUGCUGCAGCCCUAGCCCUGUGCAUCAGAUCAUUACAAAUCCUUCUGGAACUGCCUGAUUAAUCCUUUGUUAUCCGGACUUCCUGCCAGCACCCUGUCACUGCCUCUCAUCCUAAUCCUGUGGCACAAUCCCUUCCCAUCAGGUAACACUCAGUUUGACUGCCCAGAAGGGCAACGUGCAGGGCGAGGUGUCUUCAGGACUGUGCUGUGAGUGUUCAGUCUGGACUGGAAAGGCCUAUAAGUAAUCAGUUUGCAAAAACUGGAAUCCUAAGCCAAAAUGUGACAGUAUUCCUCAGGCACCUCACCCGGGCUGCAUAAAUUUACAGAGGGAAAGUUAUCUCACCUACCUUAGGCACCUGUUUUUGGUUGGGAUGAAUCUUCCAUUGGAAGUGCCUCUCUCCCCACAGUAACUAUAGACAAAGAUAGCCUUGAAUUAAUAUCUAAAUAACUAGAAUAAGGCAAUAUCAGUCCCAUUUUUUUGAUGCCAGGAUUAAAACCAGAACUUGUUUGAGUCAGCUUUUAGGUCUCUUUUAUUCUUACACCAUUAUAAGAACUCAUUUUCUAAUUCCUUGACUCUUUUAAUUACAUUUAAAUUGAACUUAUUAGCAUUUAAUUGAAACUUCAUUCAAUGCCUCUCAAAAUAGAAAUCAAUUUUAAGAAUUACUUAUUCUGCAGUAGGAAAAUGUGCUGAUACAGGUGAAUUAAUCACAUGUUCUUAGAAUCAUUACUAUAUUCUUGCUGGCCAGAAAAAAGACGAAGAAUUGAAAAAUGCAGUUGUUCUGAAACCAAAAUGCUUUGCCCAACCCUAUUAGAUUUGCUGAAAUACGUUUUGGCAGAUAAGCAUAUUCUGACAUUGCCAAAAUGUCCUGUUUUAUAAUUUUGGAACUGGGUAUCUAAUAUUUCUUUUCAAAAUAGUUUUUCAUGUUUAAUGUUCCUAUGAUGUGUUUCAUUUUGUGUUCUCAAUACAAUUAAAAAGUCAACCAUAAUCAAAAGUUUCUGAGACAUUUCAGUUGAUACAACACAUUUUUCUUAAAACUUUCUCUUCCAAAUAAUUUCAGAAUUUUCAGAAGUUGUGCCUAACUGGCCUAAGAUCAAAUUUGAAAAUCCUCUGCAAAUUUAUUUUCUGCAUACGUUUGAUUUAUUGCUGAUAUUCCACCAAAAGUGUGUCAGCCAUAAACCUCUUGAAGAGCUGAAAGGAAAAGAGAUUCAGUGUUCCUCAGAGAGGACUUUACACUUUCUGGGCCAGGACUUAAAAUUCGUUUCCACCACUGCAAGACUACCCAGUACCAAAACACUUUUCUUCAAGUGAAGCCGAGGAGAGAUUGGUGGUAAUUUUUAUGUCACCUUGCACAAUUUAAAGUGUUUAGAGGAUAUAAAAUGAAAAAUUAUAAUCUGUGAAAAUACAGACGUUAGUUUAUAACAUUAAGAUGCCCGACUGGUUAAAGUUCAUGGUAGCUCUCAUUUGCUUCUGUGAAUUGCAUCUUCAAGAAACCAGAAAGUAAGUAUUUCUUCAUAGCUGUAGAUUCCAAGGCAUGGGGUUUGAUAUGUUUAUUUA